rnacentral:rRNA from 1 species
UGGAGCCUGCGGUUUAAUCGGACUCAACGCCGGAAAUCUCACCGGAUAAGACAGCUGGAUGAUAGCCGGGCUGAAGACUCUGCUUGACUAGCUGAGAGGAGGUGCAUGGCCGUCGUCAGUUCGUACUGUGAAGCAUCCUGUUAAGUCAGGCAACGAGCGAGACCCACGCCAACAGUUGCCAGCUCGUCCUCCGGGAUGGUGGGGACACUGUUGGGACCGCCUCUGCUAAAGAGGAGGAAGGAAUGGGCAACGGUAGGUCAGCAUGCCCCGAAUUAUCUGGGCUACACGCGGGCUACAAUGGGUGGGACAAUGGGUAUCGACACCGAAAGGUGAAGGCAAUCUCCUAAACCCAUCCGUAGUUCGGAUUGUGGGCUGCAACUCGCCCACAUGAAGCUGGAAUCUGUAGUAAUCGUGUCUCAAAAUGGCACGGUGAAUAUGUCCCUGCUCCUU